ACUUGUGCUCUUCCGAUCUCAGGGCCAAGUUCAAGUUCCCUGGCCGCCAGAAGAUCCACAUCUCCAAGAAGCGGGGCUUUACUAAGUUUAAUGUGGACGAAUUUGAAGAUAUGGUGGCCGAAAAGCGGCUCAUCCCAGAUGGCUGUGGGGUCAAAUACAUCCCUAAUCGUGGCCCCUUGGACAAAUGGAGGGCUCUGCACUCAUGAGAACCUUGCACCACCUGAACCCUACUCAUGCCCACCAAUAAAUCCUGCUUCCUGUC